GACGAACGCUGGCGGCGUGCUUAACACAUGCAAGUCGAACGGUGAAGCGCUUGCCUUUUUGGUGGGUGUGGAUGAGUGGCGAACGGGUGAGUAACACGUGAGUAACCUGCCCUCUUCUUCUGGAUAACCUCAUGAAAGUGGGGCUAAUACGGGGUAUUCCGGGUCUGUCGCAUGGCGGGUUUGGGAAAGAUUGCGCCUUUGGGUGUUUUCGGUGGGGGAUGGGCUCGCGGCCUAUCAGCUUGUUGGUGGGGUGAUGGCCUACCAAGGCGGUGACGGGUAGCCGGCCUGAGAGGGUGGACGGCCACACUGGGACUGAGACACGGCCCAGACUCCUGCGGGAGGCAGCAGUGAGGAAUAUUGCACAAUGGGCGCAAGCCUGAUGCAGCGACGCCGCGUGAGGGAUGGAGGCCUUCGGGUUGUGAACCUCUUUCGCCAGUGAAGCAGGCCUGCUCCUGUGUGGGUGGGUUGACGGUAGCUGGAUAAGAAGCGCCGGCUAACUACGUG
rnacentral:rRNA from 1 species